rnacentral:misc_RNA from 1 species
AUAAAAUCAACCAAAAUUCUAAAGAAACCAGGGCUUAAUCCAAAAUAGAAAAUAAUCCAACCAAUAAACAACACUGCACUGCACUAGCUAAGAGGGACACUUCUGAUGAAAACACCACACUAUAUCUAAUAGGAGAGCACUGCCGGUCUCUGCUGGUCUCAAUAAAACAAUAAAAAACCAUACCGAGUAACAUAACCUUUGAGCCAAAGACUAAUCUGG